AAGAUCUUAAGUUAAAUAAACUGUAAGCCUUCAAAGCUUAAAAUGAAAAUAAUUUUUCAGGUCUUG
rnacentral:tRNA from 1 species